UACGGGGGGGGCAAGCGUUGUUCGGAAUUACUGGGCGUAAAGGGCUCGUAGGCGGCCAACUAAGUCAGACGUGAAAUCCCUCGGCUUAACCGGGGAACUGCGUCUGAUACUGGAUGGCUUGAGUUCGGGAGAGGGAUGCGGAAUUCCAGGUGUAGCGGUGAAAUGCGUAGAUAUCUGGAGGAACACCGGUGGCGAAGGCGGCAUCCUGGACCAACACUGACGCUGAGGAGCGAAAGCUAGGGGAGCAAACGGGG
rnacentral:rRNA from 1 species